rnacentral:lncRNA from 1 species
UAACUAGAGUAUCUUAGCCUUCAUCUUUAACUCAAAUACUGCGGCCCUCAAGACUACCCCCAGGCUCAAUGACUUCCUAGAAGGCCCAUGAUUCAGCAAAGUGGUUAUGCUCACAACAACAGUUUAUUACGGCGAAAGCAUGCAGAUUGAACCCAGCAUAUGGAAGCAGUGCACAGGGUGGGCCCAGGAGAGUUCCAGUUGUCCUCUCCCGCUGGAGUCACAGGAAAUGAGAUCAGUGUAUUGAAGAGACAUCUGUACGCCCAAGUUCACUGCAGCACUAUUCACAGCAGCCAUGCCAUGGAAUCAACUCAAGUGUCCACCAGUGGAUGCAUGGAGAAAGAAAAUGUGGCAUCUGUAUACACACACGGGAGUAUUAUUCAGCCUUAAAGAGAAGGUAGGAUCCAGGUCGGCUAAGCAUGCUGGCUUCAACAGCAGGGAUGUGAGGUGAGGGAGGACAGCGAUGCAGGAGGAAUGGAGAUGCGUCUAACACGGGGUCAGACGGCAGAUUCGAG